rnacentral:rRNA from 1 species
CCUANGGGAGGCUGCAGUCAAGAAUAUUCCCCAAUGGCCGAAAGGCUGAGGGAGCGACGCCGCGUGUAUGAAGAAACCCUUCGGGGUGUAAAGUACUUUUAACCGGGACGAAACAAUGACGGUACCGGUUGAAUAAGGGGCUGCUAAACUCGUGCCAGCAGCAGCGGUAAUACGAGUGCCCCAAGCGUUAUCCGGAUUUAUUGGGCGUAAAGCGUACGUAGGUGGUUUAUCGCAUCUCCUGUUAAAUCCCGAGGCUCAACCUCGGGGCUGCGGGAGAGAUGGCUAAACUAGAGACCGGGAGAGGUAAGUGGAAUUGCUGGUGUAGGGGUUAAAUCCGUUAAUAUCAGCAAGAACACCUAAUGUGAAGACAGCUUACUGGAACGGUUCUGACACUAAGGUACGAAAGCGUGGGGAGCGAAUGGGAUUAGAUACCCCANUANUC